AGUGAAUAGAUACCCAGGUAGUCCUAGCCGUAAACGAUACUCGCUAGGUGUCGGCCACGGUGCGACCGUUGUCGGUGCCGUAGGGAAAGCCGUGAAGCGAGCCACCUGGGAAGUACGGCCGCAAGGCUGAAACUUAAAGGAAUUGGCGGGGGAGCACCACAACGGGUGGAGCUUGCGGUUUAAAUUGGAUUCAACGCCGGAAAUCUUACCGGGACCGACAGCAAUAUGAAGGCCAGGCUGAAGACUUUGCCGGAUUAGCUGAGAGGUGGUGCAUGGCCGUCGUCAGUUCGUACUGUGAAGCAUCCUGUUAAGUCAGGCAACGAGCGAGACCCACGCCCACAGUUGCCAGCGUACUCUCCGGAGUGACGGGUACACUGUGGGGACCGCCGCUGCUAAAGCGGAGGAAGGAAUGGGCAACGGUAGGUCAGUAUGCCCCGAAUAUCCCGGGCUACACGCGAGCUACAAUGGUUGGUACAAUGGGUAUCUACCCCGAAAGGGGAUGGAAAUCUCCUAAAGCCAAUCUAGUUCGGACUGAGGGCUGCAACUCGCCCUC
rnacentral:rRNA from 1 species